AAGACUAUAGACCUGCGGAGUACCUGCGGAAGGAUCAUUAACGUAUCUAUGAUGGGGUGCGGAGCGCCCUGCUCCGGUCGAACGGCCGUGCAGCGGGUGCGCCGCCCCCGUCCCACCUCACAAACCCACUGUGAACAUUCACCGGUGGAGGGGGCUCGGUCUGCGCCGUGUCCCUGAUGCCGAAUACCCAAACUCCAGUUGCAAAGAACGUCGUGCGGACUCGGUGCCGCCUAAAACAUG
rnacentral:misc_RNA from 1 species